UGAAUGCUUAAGCAUGGUUCAGGGUUAGCUCAUGUGCCUUUGGGACUGUAGGCAGCAAAUGGGAAUAGUGAGCCUGGAAUGGAAAAGGGUGAGCGAGUCCAGCCAUACUCUGUGCACAGAUGCAGCAAACACACAGGAUGGAGAGCAGAGUAACAAAACUUUACUUCCACACUCAUUCUCUGUGCUAAGUUCCCUAGAAGCAGACCCUAACUCAUCUCUUACUUCCCUAUAGCUUGUAGGCCAUGGUAAACCCCUCCUUGCUUUUCUUAGGACAUGAUUCAUGCACAUUUUGAGACAUGUUGGAUUUCAGAGUAUUUCCAGACCUAUGAUCUUGUCCUGUUAUCUGUGGUCUUUUUCCAUCCUUUCACUGACAGACAGUCCCCACUUCACAUCUUGAAUUCCAGCUGCCUGGAAAACAAUCAGCAAAUAGACACUGGAGGAAAUAUUGGGGAAAAAAAAAAGCCCAAAACACGUCUAGCAAUUGGGCUUGCAGCCUCCAAGCAGGUGCAGGCUGCAUGUGAACAGCAGCAAUUCACUCAGCAGUGCUUUUGAAAGUGAAGAGCUGACAGCACUGGGAAAGCUGAGUGAUGUGAUGGGUCUGGGAUCAGGGAAGCAUCGUGUGUGGAUGCCAAGUAGAUGGCUGAAUUUUAGACGCCGCUAAUUUUAGUUCAGCAUGAUUUGCUUCACUGAGCUCUCCUAGUGCUCCGAAUGCUGUCAUUCAGGUUGAUCAUAAUUCUUCGCUAGACUUAAAACUCUUGGAUACACAAGACUCUGAUGUGAACCUUUUUUUUUUUCUUUCCUUAAGAUGAGGUUUUUCCUAUAUGCUGUGACCUUACUACGAAUGUAUGUUAGACCAACACCAGUAAUCAUGAUCCCGCUGUUCCAUUUUCUUUCCUCCUCAUGAUGUUCUUUAACCUAUUUUACAUGUAAAACACUUCAUAAUAUGCAGCCAAGUGUUUAAGCAUUCAAUUCCCUUCCUUCACCUGCCCCUCCUUUUCCUGCAGUUGGUUGCAGAUCACUGCUUGGAAGCGUGCAGAGAGAGCGGGCAGCAAGGCGAGUUUUGUCCCUGUGAGAGUAACCACUUUCAAGUAAUUCUUUAUGCAAGGUGACCAGCGUGCACUUGUACCAUAUCUUGGCUGAAAAAACGGCAAUUUCUGACAGUGCAGACAUCUGACCUUACCCUUAAAUAAAGUCACUGUCCAGUCCCCAGGCAGGGUUGCUGCAGAAAUCCAGGGUUGGGGAUACAACUCCACACAACCUCUGUCUUCUUUAAGUCCUGUAACUUUGUCUUGUGUUGAUCUUCUGGGCUCAGCUUCCUAUGUGUUUGCAGCAUUAAGCAGGGAAAGAGUCUGCAUGAAAAUUGCUCAGGUGUAAAAAUGAGAGAGUGGUUAAAACCUGAUUCGAAAAUACACCCAGGCUAAUAGAGUUUCAUUUAAUCUCCAGGUUGCCAUUCAAGAUCCAGUUUGUCUAGCUUGUGAUGGAAUGUGGUUACCACCAGACAAGUAUUCAGUGCUUCGUGUAAUGAAAAUUGGCACUUUGCAGUGAUUUCUAAACAGACGCAACUGCAGCUGCCGUGGGAAGGCUGAGGCCAUCUGUUUCUCCCUGCAGCUGCUGGCCCCUUCCCGUGUCCCUCCUCAUCCUCAUCCCCAGCUCCACUGCGUGCAACUGAGAGGACGUGUGGGCAUGAGUACCUCCUCAGCAUACUUCAACCAGGGUGUCAGCAGGAGUGUAACACUAAUCUUGUCCUGUGAAUGCCUGUCAAGAUCUGGUCCAUGAACACCAACUUUGUUCCACAGUGGUGCCUCUGAACAGUUCUGCUCUGGAAGAAGGACGUGUACUAAGGCAGCUUUUCUACAAUGGCAAAGGAGAUUUGCAUUCAACACUUGAUUUAUUUUGUCAUAAUUUCUCUAUAAAGACACAUUUUGAACUUGUAGGGAGUUCCAAGAUGGAUCCUUGGGAUCUGAUUACAGGGAAGGAUGGGGAAACAUGAUGGUAUUUAUGCUAUACCUCCCACCACACUGGUGUGCUCACCUAGCUCCUGGAGUAGUCUCUGAUGCAGGAUCAAGUCAAGAAAGGAUUUGAUUCCCCUCAGAGGUAUAUUGCCACCUUGCAUUAACAUCCAAGUUGCACUUAAAGAUCUCUGGAGAUCCGGUGCACAAGACUGUUACAGUUUCAGUGCAAAUUUGAGGCAAAUGUGAGAAGUAGCCACUGAAGUUUAACAACUAUAAAUUUCAAAACUGGCUCAUUUAUUCAAAGAAAUAGGUCUUGUGGUUAAGUUCUCCCUUCCGUGAUAAAAGUCUCCAUGUGAUAGAAAUUUGCCUUUCUGCUUGGGCAGAAUUACUGCCUGUAUCACCGGGGUUCCUGCCCAUGCAGAGGAAGAGAGGGAGGAAAGCAGGGACCCACCAUGCAGGGCAGUGAGUGGAGACUUCCUGCAAUGCCUUUGUUAAUGGUGUGUUUCUGGGAGCUGGUCCAGGGCCAUUUCAGAGCAUCAGUAUAAUUUUACUGUUAUUUCUUGGGUUGAGUUUUGAUCCAUGAGGCUUUAUCUUUGGAAACAACCAUUUCCCAGAGCAGUGUCUCUGUCCUCAUGAUGAAGGGCUCUGCAGUACAUCCUUUGGUUCUCUAAAACAUGGCACGCUUCACAGACCUAAAACAUUUCCUAACUGAUUGAUAGCAACUCAUUUAAUGCAAUGCGCAGGUCUAAAACUAUGAAUAUAUCGAGCUGUGGAACAAUAUAUUUCUUCUUCUAGGGGGUGAUUAUUGUACACCACUCUCACUUAAAAUGGAGGGAGCAAUUGCAUUUUAUCACCUGUUUGCAAAAACUCAUUAUCAGAGGCUAAAAUUUAUGGGCAGAACCUCUGAAAUCUGAUGUCUUGACACACUCUGUUUUUAUUAUUUGCUCUGUGGCCCUGAGGGAGGCACACUGAAAGUAGAGUCCUCUCCAGCCAGGCAAAGUUAUCCUACUAUGAAGGUAUGGACAGAAAGUAAAUCAGUGUGAACUGCGAGUGGGUCAGCAGCUCUGGAGCACCUGCCUAUGUGCAUCCUGCCGCCAAUGCUGCGUGUGAGGCUGAUUGCCCCUCUUUCAUCGAAGAAUGGUUGAAGCAGCUGGUCAGAAACAGACUCUGUGAUCCAGGGAUAGCUGCAAGGAACAGAGAAUGGGAAAAGAUACUGGGAGGGGAUGUGAGUAUGCAUGCCAGGGAAGGAUGGCUUUAGUGUUGACCUCCUGCAUCCUUCAUGAAUGUGGUCCUCACGCUGACCGCAUGCUCUGACCACAUCCGAGGCUGGAGCCUCUGUCUUGCAAGCAAAGAAGAUAAUUAAUCAUCUGCUUUUCUGUGGGCCAAAUGCACAUCUGGUGUAAUCAGCUUUGACUUCUGUGGGCUUAAGUUUGGAAGAGGUUUCAAGUAGUUUGUCUCUUCUGUCGUAUGUGUAACAGCCAUCACACAGGGGGAUCCUCAUGGUCAUGGAGUCUGAAAGAAUGAAGUUAGUGCUGUCUGGCUAAUCCAGGCCUCCUUUCAAACACCACCCACCUCAAAAGCUGAGUUUUAUUUACCUUUGCAGGGCUUAGCUUUGCCACUUUCUGGCUUAAAUGUUAUUAUUUUUUAUCAAAAGUUGGCUGUCUAGCUGAGGGCAUUUUUUAACUUGUCAGGAUUUACAACAAAAAUAUCACUAAUAGCAAUUUUUUUGCCACAUUACCCCCUAUUUAGUAGAGGGUGAAUCCAUCAAAUUGCAGUACACGUGCAGAGUUAGUAGCUUAAUUUAUAUUAAACAUAUAUUGCAUUGUUAGGAAAUAUAAGAUACAUGGUGACUAUAAAGGACUCUGUGUAACUAAGAAUGUUGCACAUCCUUACCAGGGUUUAGGUAAUGGAAGCACCACAUUUUGUUUUCAGGCAGCUCUCACCAGAAAUGACUCCCCCAAUAGAUUAGGCUUCACCACUGUGCACGAGUCAUAUUUUCAAACACAUCACCUAGCCUAAAGCCACUCUUGUUAAAUACACGCCAGUUUUGUGCACAGAGGCUCAGUUAUAGCUCCUACAGCCACUUCAGCAUUUGUAUUUCCUUUGCUCUCUCUGACCGUAACCAUAGAGCCUACAACAACACUUGGAGAAAUAUAAUCUUUGGCAUUUAGUACUUUUUCUCCACCCAUAUGCACGUGCACUUUUGAAGAAGCAAACAGAAAAUCCUCAUAACUCUGGCACCCAUAGCCAGGAAGAGCUAUGACCUGAGAGAACAAUUAAACAACAACAACAAAAAAUAUAUAUAUAUAGUAAUAGUUAUAGAGGGGAAAAGCAUUAAUGUGAGGAGUUACAGCUCUGCCUCUGGGAGCCAGUGCUGCACUCUGCCAAGCUGUGUCGUGCCAUCCUGGCAGCACAGAUAGGUUGCUAAGGCAGAAAUGGGUCAGGGGAAUGUGCUCUGCACCAAAGUGCUCAAAACAGCACCUGAGUGGGGUUUCAGCACUGCACAGGGCUUGCACUGGCCAUUACAGAAGACACGAGUUUUAAUGGAGAGGAAAACAAAUAGCUACUACGAAUGGCUCUGGGGUAAAUGGCUCACCUAGGCUAUUUUGGCAAAUACUUAGGAAUGACAAAUAUAUUCACCCAUCAGGGCUGGCUCAGCAAAUAGGCUGGUCUGAUGAUAAUGACUGCAGUGAAUAAUUCAACUGGGUCUACUGGUAGUCUGAGAGUGAGUCAUAAGGGCAGAGAAAAUUAGGAAAAUUGCUUGGGUGCUGGAUGGCAGGGAAAGACAGAGAAGGAGACAUAAAAUGGAGAAAAAACCUGCCCAGCAGCUGGGGCACUCAGCUGGGAUGCAACACACAGAUCCACAAUGCUCAAACUGUGGAGCUUCUCUGGAGCUUUUCCAGGUGAAACCAUGUGGAGAAGGAGAACAAGCAAGACAAGUCAGGCAAGACCAGGUCUAGGCAAGGACUGAAGGAAACGUUUGUAAACAUGGAUGCAUUUCCAUAGAAAGUCUCAUUUUUUUGUGUGUUAGACUUUUCAAAGGACAGACCAUUUUGUCAAAAGGUCAUCACCCAGCAGGUUAAUGCCAUCCCUUUUUCAUUUCAUCAAGUCGCUAAACCUGGUAGCAUCUGCUGUCUGAAUGGGCAUACCCUCAGCUGCAGUGUAUCCAUAUGUUUCCAUACCUGUUUCCCCUUCCUUUCUCUUCCCAGCAUCUCUGUCCUUUCUGGCCAACAGCUGUCCACUGUUCAGCCCCAGGAGGGCUACUGAGAUCCAGUGGGUUUUGCCCAGGAGUAGUGACCUGCUCAUGCAGAAAACAUUGAAGGAUUUAGGGCUGAGCUUGUAACAUGGUCCUGGGAAGGAGUGCUAAGGAUGUAGAAGAAGGGAGCAAAGCUAUCACUGUGUUCCUAAAACUGCUCCUUGGAGCAGAUUUAGCAUUAGCAGCAUAUCCCCUUUGACCACAUCCCUCACUCCAUGAUGUGGGACUGGUUCACAUACCAGCCUGGAAAAGCUGUUUUUUCAGCUUCAUCUUUUACUGUCACACAAGGAACAUUUAGAUUAAUUUCAGUUAAACAAGACCUUGUGCUGCUGCUUCUGGAUGCCUAAAAUGUGAAGGACUGACAAAAAAGACAUGUAUCCUAUCUCCCAUGGUUUCUGCUCUUUCUUCUGGCAUCACAUUUCGGGGAUCUCCAUGUACUGUGGCUGUGUAGGGCCUCCUUUAAAAGAGUUUCUGCCUAGAGAGGUUUGGAUCUCUUUUGCUUGAAGACCCCUUCCUGGUGGGGUCUGCUAGCUAAUUGGGAUGGAUAAUUAGGAUGGCAGAAUGCUUUUAUGAAUGACCAGGUUACUGGCUAUGUUACUUUAAUCACAGACCCUAGCCUUGCAUUGAGGGUGGUAAAGUACUGGAACAGGUUUCCCAGAGAGGUGGUAGAUGCCCCAUCCCUGGAGACAUUCAAGGCCAAGCUGGAUGGGGCUCUGAGCAACCUGAUCUAGUUGAAGAUGUCCCUGCUCAUUGCAGGGGUGUUGGACUAGAUGACCUUUGAAGGUCUUGUCCAACCCAAACUAAUCUAUGAUUCUAUGAUCCUAUGAGUAUAGGAGCUUGGCACUUCAGCAUGGGCUAGUGCAGGCUUUGAAGAAGAAGAGGGCAAGCUGUGGCCAUUCCCACCUGACAAACGGGAAUAGGAAUGGGAAGAGGGAGCAAGCCACUCCUUCUUGUGCAUUGCUAUGGGUCCUGCAUCCACUGAUGCCCUCCACCAGAAUGCCUGACCCAGUAGCUGGGGGAGGUCGGGGUGCCUCUUCCCUUUAAAUAUCAAGGAAGGAAUCAAUGCUGCUGAAACUUGCCUCUGAAGGAUCACUCCCAAACUCCUGUGCCAGGGGUGUUGCCUGAGGUGCUUUGAUUUCUCUCCAGCAGCAUCCAGGAGAGGCAGUUCAGAGAUGCUGGAGACUGUACAGGUCCCAGUUGUUCUCCAGCCCCUCUUGCUGAGGAUAUUGCUCAGUGGGGACAGGGACAUGGUGAGGCAGACUCUGAACCUAGGGCAUGUGGUGUGACUGCUGGAAAGGGCUGAAACCUGCCAGUCUCAAGGCUGAGCUGUCCUGGCACAGGGGAAGACAACGCACAGAGCAGUGCCUGUGUGAAGUGCAGGGGAACUGGGAAUGAACUCUUGCAAAAAUAAUAAUAAUAAUUUUUUUUUUUAAAUAGUCAGGCCUGUAUUUCACAUUUCUCUCUGCCCUUCCAGCAACCCUUCCUUGAAAAGUUUAUGUCUACAUUACAAGAAGCGGUUGCAUUUUCUCGCAGCCAAGUCCUCUCCCUGCUGUUUUCCAUAGCUGAGCUGGCCUUUGAGUAGCCUCGGUGAUGCGGGGCCUCUCGCAGACAGAGCCACGUUUGUCUCAGAGGCAUGUUGAACUUGGCAGGUACUGUAUGUCUAACUCCAAUUUAAACUACCACCUUUCCAAAGGAAAGGAGUCUGCAGUACACAGCAGCAGCUGCCACAAGGAAAAUUUGCUUGCCUGGUUGCAAAACCCAAGCAGGGUUGUUAACAACAGUUUCUCCAAGUUUUCACACAAAUUUACUCUGUGGUCUUGCAGAUACUGACCUAAGAGUAAUUUUUUUUUCCAACAGAAAGAGGUUAAAACAGGGUGAUUUGAUUGCAAUCAACUCAAACAGACUAAUGUGUGAUAAACCAGGCAUAAAUACAACCAUAAAAACAUGGGCCAGGCUUGUCCUUCCUUGCAAACAACCAUCUGUGGUGCAUGUGGCUCUGGGGCCAAGCCUGUUGUGCUUCUCUGUGGCCUGAUCCGUUCCUGUGGGUUCAUCACUUCCCAUGAACUACAGCAGAGUCAAUAUCUGAUGGUGAUUUUUUUCCCCUUUGGCUGGGAGAAAGCACAAGCUUCUUGCAGAUGGGGAGAGGGUUGAUGGUGGAUCUCCAUAGGGGUCCUGCCUUGGAGGGUCUUGGUUAGCUUACUGGUGGGAAAAGGGAAAGCCAGUCCUCUUGCAUGAGGAAGAAACAUCUCUGGACAGUCAGCUCUCAGGAGGAGCAAGCCUGGUUGGAAAUCUCCUUCAUUCAGUGGGACACACAUCAUCUCUGCAGGCAGUGGGGAAGAUGAUAUGGGGUGUUUCUGGGUGCCAAAGCCUGCAUGCACACCACUGUGGAGUACAGUUGUUCUCCAUCACCGUUUCCACCACCUCAUUAAGCUUGCCAUCAAUAAUACAGUGUUUCUCAUGCAGCUGAGAGCGGAAAGGGCGGUCGUAUGGGAGCUGACUCACUCUGACUCACAGUGUCUCUCCUGGGAACACAGGGUCAUUCAGGUUAAUCUCAGCUCUUCGCAUGCCCAAAGACUGCAGGCAGACCAAGGACAUCCCCUCUCCACACUCUGUCACCUGCAAAGUACCUUGUCCUAAGGCAAGGAAAAGCCCCUUCUGAGGGCUGGGAUGAAGCAGUGGAUGAGGGAGCCUGGUCUGUGCCACCAGUUUUCCUGGUCCCCCAUCAAAGUAGCAGCUCCCCCUCUGGAGUGCCAGAAGCCCCAUUGCAAUGGGAGCACUCUGGAUGUCCUGGGUCAGGCAGGCUGACCCAGGGACUCAGGUCUCCCUGAGUACUUUGGGGCAACGUCUAGACCAGAGAAAUGCAGCUGAACACACUGCGCCGUUUUUUCUAAUUUUUUUUAACUUCCGCUUUUGGGAACAGCAGAGAGACAGGUCAGAAAAGGCUCUCAGGCAACAAAGUUUAGUUUCCUACACUUUAUCAUUUAAUGGUGUGAAUUCUGAGAUUGGUCUUUGCUCAGACACAGCAGAAACUUAUUAUACUUGAUUUCUUAGAAAAGGAGGGCUUGGGUUAAGGGGAAGCACUGCAGACCUGUCUGGCUGCUGGAGAGUUAACUGUGCUGUAGUGCUGCCCAGGCUCUAGACCCGGACAGGUACAGCCUGGGCUGGGGGCAGCCGUCAGUGAAAGUCAAUGUUGAUCUUUCUGUGACUCCUCAGAUAACAAUUCAGCUUUCAGAGAUCUCCAUGUUUGCUUUCUUUUUUGCUUUUGUUUCUCUCUCUCUCGGAAUGAGAGGGUAAAUACAGGAAGUUUGGUUGAGCGGAAAGGUAGAAGAUCAAAACCAUCCUGUAUUACCAACUUCCUGGCAGGUGCCAUGAUGCAGAGCCCAUCAGAUGGGCAUUGCUGGGGUUAGGGAAGGAUGAGGGGAGAACAAGGAGUGUUUUCUGAAAUCCUUGUCUCCAGACAGUCUAGACCCAAAUUCACCUUUUAUAUUAAAAAAAAAAAAAAAAGGAAAAAAAAAAGCAAAAAAAAAGUUUGGACACUGGCAGUCUACCUAAACAUGUUUUUAAUAGGAACUGUUAAGUUUUGGAACAGGACAGCAACUGUGAUGGAGCAGCAAAUAAAAUGCUAAAGUAAAUGACAAUGAUUGAGGUUGUGUUUGUGCCUGUACGCUAAUGAUGCUUUCCAGAUCCAGCUACAUUUUCCUGUUAGUGGCAUGCUUCUCCCUCGCUCUCUCUCUCUCUUCUUUUUUUUUGGUCUGCCCACUUCCUGUUUUCUAUUUGCCCUCUUCCCAAUCCAUUCCUUCCACUGUUGCUUUGAACUUCCCUCCAUCUCAACUUUUCAUCAUGCCCAAAGGUCUUUGCUUUCAUCUAGUGCAAAUACCUCUUUUCCAAAGCCUCCAAGAGGUUUUCAUGUCUUUCUCUGAGGCUGUGUUUUAUUGUCCUCGGUUCACACUGCAGAGGGGAGACCACCAUAAUACCAAAGCGUGACUAGAUCCAGUAGACUAGAUCCAGCCUAGGUUUAGCUGGGCUGACGUGUCACUAGUGGUGGUGUAGCCCCUGUAAGUAAAAGCUUGAGGAGUGUUUCAAAAUCUGUUAGUAAUGUGAGUUAACGCUUUGACAGCCAAGUCAAAGUGACUGCAACUUGACAGAGUUCAAAUACUCUCAGCACCUUGCCCAAAAGAUUACCAGGCUGCAUCUCUGGAUUGAUCGGGACACACAUGAUGGCUUUAACUGUUGGUCUCCUCCCUAUUUAUUGAAUGUUUGGUUAUCACUUUCCAAUACCACAUCCCACUGGACUCUAACAGUGAUGCUGAGUCCUGGCUGAGGGAGGACCAAUAAACCCACAGGCCAGCGGUAGCACAGCAGUGGUAACAGCUCUCCAGCAAAAGGUGUGAAGCCUCUGUCUCCCUCAUCUCGUCUGGAUAUCUUGUAUGGUACCCAGAAGAAAUGCUGCUAACACCAGCCUUUGUGCAUUGUCAUCUUGGAUGUGAGGCAAGACCCUGUCAUCAAGGUCUGCUCUUCUGGAUGGCAACCAGGGCUCUGAUGCAUAAAAUUAAAAAUCUUGUGGCAGCUUAUUUCCCAUCAAGGAAAAACCAAAACGAAACAACAAACACAAACAGCAGAUCCAUUGAAUUAACCAGAUGUGUUAAUAAUAUAAAGUGUUGCUUAUCCUUUGUCUCGUCCCUGUCUCAGUGUCCAUUUAUGCCAUUUCCCUGCACUUUCAAUUUCACGUGUCACAGCUGAAAAUCCUGCAUCAAUCCCCCCUUUUGUUUUUCUCCCAUGUGCAGUCCAUGCUGAUGUGGUAAAGCUGCUGUGGGAAGGCUGGAAGUCCCUGCAGUAGGGCAGCCGGGCUCUUCUCACUGCAGGGCUGGGUGAGCAGUUCCAGGCUGGGCAGCCUGAGGAACUUGGUUGUGCUGGAGCUGUCAGCACUUCCAUAUGUGAGAGUGUUGAAAGCCAUAGGAUCAGACUCGGGAGUCAGAAUACAACGCGACUUCAAAAAGUGAUGUGAUUAAUCAUGUUUUCAUUUACCUUCUAGUUCUUGAGCUUUUUGUGCCAGCACUUUUAAAGCUUUAUCUGAAACUGAGAGGAAGAAACAUCAUUUUUCUCUCCUCACAGAAUUCCCUGGGUUUGAGCUGCACCUUCCCAAAAUACACACCCCACUCCUAGCUGCUGUGGAAGCUGCAGCCCAUGAAGUGUGCCUGGCAGAUGACUGCCUUAUCCCGGCUGGGCUGGGAGCUAGUAAGCUCACUGGGACACCGACUACCUUGCACGACGGUCUGGGGACUAUGCAGACACACCAGGGCUCUGAUCUCUUCUGGUCAGAGCCUCUGGGUGUUUCUGUGACUCGAUGGGGAAUCCUGGCCAGUUUUCUGUCUCUCUCCACAGUGAAAGCUCAUUUUGCUUUUCCCUCCUGCUGUGAUCUAGGGGUCUAGGUUUAGAAGAAAUUAUACAACUAAAUAAGAGCCAUUACGAAAGGCCAAAUCUUGAACGGAUUUGUGGGCGCUUCUGCACUGCGAGUGACAUGUGGACAGGCACACCUCUGUGAGGCUAAUCUCCCAAGCGUGGAAAACAAUAUGAGGGCAGAUAUAGCUACAGGGCUGCGAAGUGAAAUGUCGGAGGGACAUCCAGAAUCAGAAUUAGGGAUGCAUGCUGUUUUUACAGCUGGUGGGAAGCCCAUGUCAUGCUGCUGGUAUCUCUGAUGGUGAAACCACGGCACAGUCAGACAUCGCUCGUUCUUCUAUGCAGAUCUCUCUCCCAUGGGACUCUCUUCUUCCCUCCUUUUUCUUUCACUGCAUAGUUCAAUAAAGCAUCCCUGUAUCAUCUGCUGGUCAUGUCCUUCCUUUCCGAAUUCACUCCCACAUCAAAUUUGGAUCGAUGAUAGCUAUUUCUAAGUGAGGAGGAGUGUUUACAUCCAUAACAUCAAUGCGGACGUGUUGCUCCUGUGGGGCCACUGCUCUGCAGAGAGCAGGAUGAGCUGCCCUGGCCAGAGUCCUGAGUGGGGUGCAGAGCAAAGGCAGCCUCUGGGGUGGGAGGGGAAUGGGAGAUCAGAUGCUGUCAAGUGUUUUACAAUAAUACCUUGCCGAAAGCAGCAUCAGAUUUUGGAAUUAAAAUUGUUUCUUCACACCUUUCUGGUUUUGCAGUCAGUUUUGCCAGGCUUGUGGUGGUGUCUUUGUGAAGCCACAAAGGGUAAUUAGCAAAGGCAAAACCAGAUCCUGAGCUGGGUAUGGGAUGUUACACCAGAUUGCCCCUGUUGAUGUUCUGGCCCAUAGUUUUCAGUCAUGCC